AUGAACGCUGGCGGCGUGCCUAAUACAUGCAAGUCGAGCGAACAGACGAGGAGCUUGCUCCUCUGACGUUAGCGGCGGACGGGUGAGUAACACGUGGAUAACCUACCUAUAAGACUGGGAUAACUUCGGGAAACCGAAGCUAAUACCGGAUAAUAUAUUGAACCGCAUGGUUCAAUAGUGAAAGACGGCUUUGCUGUCACUUAUAGAUGGAUCCGCGCCGCAUUAGCUAGUUGGUAAGGUAACGGCUUACCAAGGCAACGAUGCGUAGCCGACCUGAGAGGGUGAUCGGCCACACUGGAACUGAGACACGGUCCAGACUCCUACGGGAGGCAGCAGUAGGGAAUCUUCCGCAAUGGGCGAAAGCCUGACGGAGCAACGCCGCGUGAGUGAUGAAGGUCUUCGGAUCGUAAAACUCUGUUAUUAGGGAAGAACAAAUGUGUAAGUAACUAUGCACGUCUUGACGGUACCUAAUCAGAAAGCCACGGCUAACUACGUG
rnacentral:rRNA from 1 species